rnacentral:rRNA from 1 species
AUUGAACGCUGGCGGCAGGCCUAACACAUGCAAGUCGAGCGGAUGACGGGAGCUUGCUCCUUGAUUCAGCGGCGGACGGGUGAGUAAUGCCUAGGAAUCUGCCUGGUAGUGGGGGACAACGUUUCGAAAGGAACGCUAAUACCGCAUACGUCCUACGGGAGAAAGCAGGGGACCUUCGGGCCUUGCGCUAUCAGAUGAGCCUAGGUCGGAUUAGCUAGUAGGUGAGGUAAUGGCUCACCUAGGCGACGAUCCGUAACUGGUCUGAGAGGAUGAUCAGUCACACUGGAACUGAGACACGGUCCAGACUCCUACGGGAGGCAGCAGUGGGGAAUAUUGGACAAUGGGCGAAAGCCUGAUCCAGCCAUGCCGCGUGUGUGAAGAAGGUCUUCGGAUUGUAAAGCACUUUAAGUUGGGAGGAAGGGCAGUAAGUUAAUACCUUGCUGUUUUGACGUUACCGACAGAAUAAGCACCGGCUAACUCUGUGCCAGCCGCCGCAGUAACAC